CCUGGUGGCAAUAGAGAGAGGGAAAUACCUGAUCCCAUCCCGAACUCAGAAGUCAAGCCUCUCAUCGCCGAUGGUACUGUACGCAAGAGUAUGGAAGAGUAGGUCGCUGCCAGGG
rnacentral:rRNA from 1 species